UACCUGCAGCUCGAGUGGUAACCGCUAUUAUUGGGCCUAAAGCGUCCGUAGCCGGUUUGGUAAAUAUCUGGGUAAAUCGUGAGGCUUAACUUCACGAAUUUCGGAUAGACUGCCAGACUUGGGAUCGGGGGAGGUCAGAGGUACUCCAGGGGUAGCGGUGAAAUGUUGUAAUCCUUGGAGGACCACCGGUAGCGAAGGCGUCUGACUAGAACGAGUCCGACGGUGAGGGACGAAGCCCUGGGGCGCAAACCGGAUUAGAUACCCCGGUAGUCCAGGGUGUAAACGAUGUGGGCUUUGUAUUGGAGGUCCCACGUGGGCGUCCAGUGCAGAAGAGAAGUUGUUAAGCCCACCGCCUGGGAAGUACGGUCGCAAGGCUGAAACUUAAAGGAAUUGGCGGGGGAGCACAGCAACGGGAGGAGCGUGCGGUUU
rnacentral:rRNA from 1 species